GUAACUUUAAAAAAUUAAUAACAAAACAGGUUCAAAAUUUUUAAUCUAUACUAAUAUAUAAAUCUAGUGUUUUUUACGGAUGUUCCGUUAUAACUACUGAACCAUACAUCCGAUUGACUUGAAACUUGGUAUACAUGUAGAAAAUACAUAUACUUAAUGGAUAGGCUAAUAUUUAUAUGAGUGUUGGACCCCCUACAUGAGUUGGGGGGCGGUAAUGAUGAGAAUCUUUGUGGGGGUGAGAAAUAAUAAUGUUAAUUUUAAAUGCUCAUCGAAGCGGACGGGUACAGCUGGUCGCUUAUAAAUGUGAAUAGAAUCUAUGAAAAUCACUAAUGAAAUGAAAAAGUACGUUGUACCGAUAUUUUAUAUACUAGUAUAGAUAGAAGCUAAAUAACACAUGAUGCGGAUUUAACGUGUUAUCAAAAGAUAACAGGGCAUGACAGCGAAACAUUUUUGACCUAAGUCUCACCUUUGUCUUAAUAAACUUCUAUUUAAAUGAUGAUUUAACGUGUACUGGUAAUAGAAUGGUGUAGAAUAAAUACCAUUCCAAAUUCAAACUUCAUACGUACUUAUUUGACAUACUAAUAAUAGAGUAGUACAAACAUGCACAACCGAGCAAUCUGUGACAACUACGUGCAAAUUCACUUGUUAGCUAAAUUAACAUUUCUGUUUUUAUUGAGAUUGUACAUGUACGUGUAUUGUAACAUCCACAGUCUUUAAAAAUAAAUCCCAAAUUCGCAGAAUUUUAAAAACAGAAAGAAACGAAAUGAAAAUUUGACAAUUUACUACUCUCAAAAUCGGAGGACUGAAAAAAGUAAAAAAAGAUAUUUUUCAUUAUAAGUGCCCGAUAACAGUAUUGAUUACUGUCAAUAAAUGUAAAUGUAUAUACCGCGAACAGUUGACGUCAUCGCCAAACCAAGAAAUAAGUAGGUAGCUACAUAGCGACAGUCGUAUAUUAUUAUGGAGUUUAUGAACCUCAAAUAGGUAAAUAAUAUAUUCCGCUGUACGUUUUGCUCAUGGAAAUCCGGUUGCAUCGCAGUCAGUACUUGAACAAUUUUCGUUCUAACGGUCCAUCGACCGAUUCGAAUGGGUGGCAUAACUCUGAAAUCACAAACGAUAUUCGUCAUUAUGUCAAUGUACGAGUAACUAUAAUUGUUAAGCAGAAAGUAGACACGUGUAAAGAAACUUCCCGAUGUCGUGCAGUCUGUACAACCAAAGAUGAUCACAAUCAGGUCUUGGUUUUAGCAGGAAAAUCAUGACAAUUUAUUUGGGGGUGAUGCUGUUGAGUUUGGUAGUGAUAGGAUGCAAGGCAAAUCAAAGAUCGGGCAGCAAAACGAGCCGGGUUGAACUAGUUAGCUAUGAAAAUGGGACAAUCACGAAUAGAUUUCAAGUUACCUGAAGACUUAAUCUCGCAUUUGGUUCAUUCAUUAUUGUGCCUUUUCUUUUCCUAUAAAAUGAAAUAGUUGAAAAAGUUUAAAUUAAGAUAUUACUCAAUACAUACUGUGCAUGCAUAAUUUUUAGACAAUUUAAAUUUAAAAUAAAUAAACGUAAUAGAAACUUCGAACUUCUGCUACGUUAACGGGGAUAAAGGAUUGCCUAUAUGCUCCAACAGCUAGCUACCUGAAAAGCCACUGCACGUCACCACCGCUAAAAUAACUACCAAAGUAUGCUGCGCCUUGAGCGUACCUACCGAGCCCAAAUUUCUAGAACAGCAUGAAUCAACACAUAAUAAAAUUACAAAGAAAUGUUUUUAAAAUAAAUUCGAAAGCAGAACUUCUUUUGUAAACGCGAUUGGUUUUCGAACUGGAGCAAAGCUGUAAAGAACAAUGGACAGGUACAAACAGUUUGCAAGUUAACCAACAGACAAAUUUAUAUAAACGAAUACAAUUAUUCAAUGGACAACAAGCGCACGAAAUGCGGUUUUAAUUUCGCAACAUAAUUCGCGUGUUAACCUUCAGAAUGUAAGUAGCUGUAGUUUAUUGUGACCAAAAAUCGCGAAGGUCGGUUGACGACGGUAUAAUUUGCCUACUCUAUAUUAUAUAAAUUAAAUCUAGAAAUUCUAUCAUAAUAUAUUUUACACUAUUCUAGAGCACCCCUUUCCUUUCCCCCUUUUCUUGUAAUUUUUAAAGGAAAGAUGCAUGUGUCAUGUGCUGGUAAGUCAUUUGUAUAUUUGGUCUAAACCAAACGAUGGCCCAAAUGGCCUAGAGUAUAAUGUUAGAUCAUCAAUGGUACCAAUUUUGUUUUUUAUUGAAAAUUCUACAGAUCGUCUAUUUAUUUUUACUGAAAACAACAUUUGUCGCUUAGAAGCAGACAAGCGUUCUUCUGCUUAUGUUAGAAAAUAGUUACCUACAAAAUAAUUAAAAUUUCAGAUUUAAAUUUUCAUUUAUAUAUAUUUUCAUUUCAUUUAAAUUAAAUUUUCAUAUUGUUUUUAGAUCCCUAUCAGAAAUAAAAUAUUCAGCACCUGAUAAAAAAUUAUACGCAAUAUUAUCAGAAAAAGAUUUUUGAGUCAGGACAUAAAUCCCGAAAAAUUAGAUCCUUAGAAACGUUACCAAAUAAACCAGUCGCUCUUUCAGACAAGCGUCCAAUCCUGGUCAUAAAGGGUGAAUAAUUAUGCUACCUCCGCAUUCAGGAUCUCCGCAUAGGAGUGACCUUACCACUAACUAGUUUGCCUUGGAUAAACUUUCAGCAGAGGCCUAAACGCGGGUUGUUGAGCGACCGGGGUCGUUUGACAAGGCGAUGUGUUUAUUUUUUGCCUUUGUUGGCAGAGGAGCGAAAGGCCCACCUGAUCAUAAGUAUUCUGCGUUGCUCUUGGACGUCAGAAAUGCCAGGGUCGCAGCCACAAGGCAGCCUACUGCUGUGGCCUCUGCGCAAACUGUGUUUGGAGAAGGACAUGUCACACUACAGAGGGGAGUUCAUUCCAGAGAUAGAUAGUACAUGCCAAAAAGGGUCUCUAGAAAUGUACUUCGGUUGAAUGCAGCGGUUCCUGAUACCAUACCUAACUGAACUCUGCUCUGGUGGCGGAAGAUGCAAUGGUAAAAAAGAGAUGAAGGGAUCAUCUCGAACAAUUCUUAGAGCACUCCACAUAGAAUAUCCGGAACAAAACACGCGGUUCAUCCGGAUGUUGUACAGGCUGUUGUCGGCGCCGCAACCAUCUGUCAUAUCGGCCAGAGAGCUAUCUGAACCCUACCUAGACCUUGCUGUCAAAUCGUGCUCCCGGAAAGAUGACACCUAAGUUACCUUUGAAUAUUAUUAUUAGUUCUACUAGUCAAAGCUUCUCGUCGAACCCGUCGCUUGCGAAGGGCUCGUUGAGUAAAAGGGUGCUGGUUAAACAAACACAGCCCACUGAGUUUCUCGCCGGACGUUCUGUGGGUCGGUUUUCGAUGGUAGAUUCUGCAAUGCCGUUAGGUUUGAGCCUCGUGAGCUCACCUACUUGUUAGGGCUACCAUAGCCUCUCAGGACUAUCAGCUUAGGUACAAAAAAGGCAAAUACCAAAUAACCUAUAAUAGUUUUUUUAAGCUAAAACAGUUAAUUUAAAAGGGUCAUUGAUAUACAAAGAAAUAUAUUUUUCAGAUGAUGAUUCGAUUAUAUUAUUUAGAAAGAAACAUGUUGAAAUAUAAAUAUAUAAAAUCUAGAAUACAUAUAUAAUAUCUACAUAGCAAUAUAUCCAGUGUUCAUGCCCAUUUUGUUAUAAUAUAAUUAUAAAUAAAUGUGUUUUUAUUUAGGAAGGGAAUUAAUUUAAAUAAAAUCUAUUUUUUUAGGUUCUUUAAAUCUGGAUCUAUCUCUUUCACCGCCUUUUCCAAAGCAAAUAAGUGUUCAUCUUCUGCAUUUGGUGCCAACUGUCUCAUUGCUUCAGCCAAGUUGUACACAUAUUCUUUGUUUGAACCACUAGGACCGAAAGAUGUAACAACUUGUUGUGCUAUGUCUUCUAUUGCUGCUGGCCCUGUAAUUUUUGGUUUUUAAGUUAUAUUUAAGUACUGGAAUACAAAGCUCUUUGUUAGUUAGCAAAUGAACUUCAAGAAAUAUCUUGUAUGUAUUUGGUAGCAAAGGUUUGUUUUCAAUAAAAUUUAUUAUUAUUACUUCAGUA